rnacentral:rRNA from 1 species
CAAUAGCGUAUAUUAAAGUUGUUGCAGUUAAAAAGCUCGUAGUUGGAUUUCGGGGUGGCCUGCCUGGUCCACCGCAAGGUGAGUACUGGUCAGCCGCCCUUCCUCUCGAAAGCCCCGACUGCUCUUCAUUGCAGUGGUCGGGUAGUUCGGGACGUUUACUUUGAAAAAAUUAGAGUGUUCAAGGCAGGCUAUCGCCUGAAUACAUUAGCAUGGAAUAAUGGAAGAGGACCUCGGUCCUAUUUUGUUGGUUUCUAGGGCCGAAGUAAUGACUAAGAGGGACAGUUGGGGGCAUUCGUAUUUAAUUGUCAGAGGUGAAAUUCUUGGAUUUAUGAAAGACGAACUAGUGCGAAAGCAUUUGCCAAGGAUGUUUUCAUUAA